rnacentral:misc_RNA from 1 species
UACGAAUGGGGCAAGCGUUGUUCGGAAUCACUGGGCUUAAAGCGUGCGUAGGCGGACAUGAAAGUCAGAAGUGAAAUCCCCGGGCUCAACCCGGGAACUGCUUUUGAAACUUCAUGUCUAGAAUCCGGUAGAGGUCAGGAGAAUUCCUAGUGUAGAGGUGAAAUUCGCAGAUAUUAGGAGGAAUACCAGUGGCGUAGGCGCCUGACUGGGCCGGUAUUGACGCUGAGGUACGAAAGCGUGGGGAGCAAACAGG